CAGCAAUUGUAGCAUCUGUAGUCGGUGAUAGCUAAUGCGUUGCUUGAAUCAUGCAAGAGCUUCACAUGAGAAGAAGAGAGCCAAAGGUAGCCAAGGACAAACUUGCCAGCAACUCGCAAACAAGGAGAUUUUGUUACAAGGCAAUGCCGGCAAGUCAUCCUUGGCUGCAUUCCACUCUCUGCCUCUUCAUGCAAAGCCCUCAGCAAGCAUCUUCAUUCCCUUAUUCCCCUCUAGCAGGUAUGCAGCCCUUUCCUCUCCAUAGCAGGUACGCAACCCUUUCCUCUCCAUAGCAUUCCAUCUUGCAACUUCUACUACGUGUUCUGGACAGAUGAAAGAGUUGGUAUAUAUAGGCCAGGGUAGUGUGUUGGUAAUUCAUGGAAUGUGCCUGAUCCUUCUGGUUCCUGUGGAUAGCCAAUGGGGUGAUACGGAGAGGAAUUCCCCAAAGUAUGUGAUACGCGCUGCCUAUUAGGAGAUAUUCCAAUUUUGGUAUUAUGCUGACUUGCUGAGGUCUCAAAAUGGACAAGUGGUCCAAUCUCCAUUACUCAUGGGAUUUUAGGCCUUAUAAGAAGGCUGUGAAGGUGGUCUGUGGGGGCGGUUUUCUUCUUGCGAUGUUUGGUAGGCUGUCAUGGGAAUAGAAUCAUGGGUGGAGGCCACACUGAGAUAUGGAGAGGGCUCAUGUGUGUCUCGUGAUUUCAAGGAUGAGUCAUAAGAUCCGCUUCUUAUUGACUCUGUCAAAUUUCAUAGCUUGCAUAAUUUGAAAGAGUGUUUCACUCCCUUUUCUGUACUAUUUUCUCCAGAUUUUAUGCAUUGAUUGGUUUAGUUGCCUUAAAUCUCAUAGGCUUCCUUAGUUGUCAUUGAGAAAACAUCUGAUGUAAGUGCCAUUGCUGCCAGGUCCUUUCUGUAGAUGCUUCUACCACAACCUACCAUCAAUGAGUUUGAUAUCCUUUUUUGCUUCCAGUCAUAUAAGAAUUCACAAUAAACUAUUAUAGGAGUUUUAUUAUUGGGUCAUUUUAGGACAUCUCAGGACAUCGUAGUUAAUUCCUUCAUUCCUUGGAAAGGUAAUAUAUACUUGAUAAUAAGGCGGGAGGUGACAGUGAUCAGUUCAUGAUUGGAAGGCCAAUUGUAGGAUUGAUCUGGUCAGGAAAUUCUUGUAGAAUUCUUGAUCAAUAAGAUUUUGAAUAAAUUGGAGAUCUGUCAUGGCUCAUCUGUAGUAUUUAGUCUUCCAUUUGUUUCGUCAGUGAAUAUGUUAUUUGGAUGGGCAUUUUUCUUGUCAGGUUGCGACUGAAGGGUGUCAUCCACUUGGUCCACUUGGACAAGUGGGAGGCUGAAUACCCCUUUGACAUUAAAGAGGGUCAUUGGAAAUACGUAAUUUAUUUCCACGAAUUUGAGCAUCUUUUUUCGUUAGAUCUCGUGGGACACAGUCCUUUCCCACAGGCUAUUUAGGUUCGUCCAAUAUAGAAUUGAUAAACCCUUUUUAUUGCUUGUCGAGGAAUCAGAUUCUAUCAAAUAUAAAGGUUAGGGCCAGAAGUCUCAAUCUCUGAGACGACUCUUUAACCUCCCACUUGCCUUAUUCUUUAACUCCAUUUCUUUUCGAGCUUGCCCCCUUUUUGGUGUUUUCUUCCAGUAAGAUUAGAGGACAAGGAGUCCAGCAUUUUAUAAUGCAUCUGUCAGCUAAAAUGUAUAUAUAUUAUAUAUAUUGAAAAAUGGAAUAGUUGUGUCCCUUAUAUCUUAGAUCUCGAUUUUUUUAAAAUGCAAUAUUUUUUAUUUCAAGAAAAAAAAAAAUACUACUCAGGUUAAUUCAUGAAUGGUUAUCUCGAUGAUGGAUGUUUAUAAAAUGUCAGAGUCGCAGAGUUAUGCAUCUUUUUGGCCCCAAUUCUGAAGAUUAAUUUGUGAAUUUGAUAUUCCAUACAAGCGCUGAAGACCUCUUGGUUUCGGAAUCAUCCUGCAAGUUACUUCUCAGAGAAGGCUAAUCAUCCGCCAGUGUGGCCACCAGCCUAAAUCAUUACAAAUAGGACAACACCUGCAAAAGAGGGAAACAGUAGAUCAUAUCCGUAACUUUGGUCGGGUUCACUGUCAAUGGUUCCUGUUCAUUGAAUUGCUCUGGUCACUGACGUAGUCAGGUCCUUCACAUGGCAGCAUAUAUUAUUACUGUGUUCUAUUUCCAAGUUGGUUCCGUACUAUUUCUUUAUUAUACGUGCAUGACAGCAUAUAUUACUUGUUAUUUCUUUAUUCUUCGGUGAAAGAAGCUUUUUUGGUGCAUCGACAAAAAUCUUUGCAUGGAAGUGCAGAGGAUAUGAUAGUUUAAAUUACUGGGCUUUCUGGUGUGCAGCUCAGCCAUUGGGCCUGUCGGCCACUCAAGUUGUACCUCGUGCGGGUGUGGUUCUUCUCUAGUUAGUGCGAUGAUGGGCUGGCCCUUCUCUUGCAGAGGAGAAUGGCUGGCCAAAUCUUGUGCUUGUUUUGAGGGCAUUUUGAGGGAGUCAAACGUUUUGAGCAUUAAGGAAGAACUUUAAUUUAAGGAUUAAAGGACAAUGCCAAAUCUUUUUAUCUCCCCUCUCCUUUCUGUGCAUAACCAAAAUCUCACAUUCCACCGGCUCUGCAAAAUUCCAUUGGCAUGUUUGUCCCAUUAGUUAUAGUCCAAAGCGUCGAGUAUCCUUAGAACCCCAUAACAGUGGCAGUACUCUCUCGGAGGUCACAAUCAAAUCUUAGUUUAUCGUCCUUCUCCUUUUGGCACUUUUUUGUUGUUGCACAGGAUUAGAAGGGAUGCUGUGGCUGGUAAUGUUGAAAUGUUUUACUGGUAAUGUUGAAAUGUUUUACGGUCCAGCCUCACAGGUUUAAUGGAAAGUAUAUGGCUUUUGAUACAAGCAGGUUGGUCCAAACCGUUCCAUCAGAUCAUGAGAAGUUCGAUCUCUAUGCAUGUCAAGCUACUUCAUCUUUGGGUAUACUUAUUCUCCUUUCCCUUUGUUCCAUAACUGUCUUGUUUUCUACCAAGCUGUAUGAUUUCCAUUCCUAUCUCUUGGUAUUGGACUACUGCUAGAGUUCCUCGAAUUCACUGGCCUCUCCCUCCUUUGAAGAAGACCAAGCCUCAGGUUUGCUUCUUACUUGAUAAUGUGAUAUUUUACGAAGAAAAUGUGAUGCAGAUGUAGAAAAUUUUGGCUCAAACCCUUCUUUUACUUUGGAGGGAUUUAAGCAACUGAGAACAAGUGAAGUCUGAUGGGUUGGAAAUAAUUCGGAAGUUCUAAUACUCUUCUGUACCAGGGUAAGCAAGGAUGUGGGAGGACCUUAGCGGAGUGCCACCGGUUACAGAAGCGCACGAUUGAGGGGGCCAAGUUCCACCUGUUCUCGCCUUCCACUGCCGCACUCUAGGCGGAGCUGCAGGACUGGCUUCUUGCCUCGGGGCCUGGUUCCAGGCCCAGCGGUGCUCGCCCGCUAACCCUUGAGGCCGGCCUCCAUCCCCCAGCCGUUCCGUCAACGGCGAUGAACGGGAUGGAGAUGUAACAGAUGUUCGCGUCGGUGGCGGCAGAGAGGGAGUAAUUAGAACCGGGACGGAGGAAGAAGCCAGACACGAAUGUGGCCGACGGUGGGAUUGGGCGAGAAUCAGGGCGAGUCAACGGGUGGUUUGACCAAUAGUGGCUACCGAGUUGGACGUUGUUUUAGCUUGACUCGGCCAUCAGAUUCAUGUAUAAAUGGCUGUGAUGGCAUUGGACAAAAUAUAAUUGA